rnacentral:tRNA from 1 species
GCCAGUUUGGCUCAGUGGCUAGAGCAUCAGCCUGCGGACUGAAGGGUCCCAGGUUCGAUUCCAGGCAAGGGCA